UUUGAUCCUGGCUCAGGAUGAACGCUAGCGGCAGGCUUAAUACAUGCAAGUCGAGGGGCAGCACGUUCCGCAGCAAUGCGGGAUGGUGGCGACCGGCAAACGGGUGAGGAUCGCGUACACAAUCUUCCCAGAGCAGGGGGAUAACCCGGGGAAACCCGGACUAAUACCCCGUAGUUUACUUUGAAGGCAUCUUUGAGGUAAUAAAACUCCGGUGGCUUUGGAUGAGUGUGCGUCCCAUUAGGUAGUUGGCAGGGUAACGGCCUACCAAGCCUUCGAUGGGUAACUGGUGUGGGAGCACGACCAGUCACACGGGCACUGAGACACGGGCCCGACUCCUACGGGAGGCAGCAGUAAGGAAUAUUGGUCAAUGGACGCAAGUCUGAACCAGCCAUGCCGCGUGAAGGAUGAAGGUCCUCUGGAUUGUAAACUUCUUUUAUAGGGGGCGAAAAAAGGGUUUUUUAACUCACUUGACGGUACCUUAUGAAUAAGCACCGGCUAACUCCGUGCCAGCAGCCGCGGUAAUACGGAGGGUGCAAGCGUUAUCCGGAUUUACUGGGUUUAAAGGGUGCGCAGGCGGGCGAUUAAGUCAGUGGUGAAAUCUUCGAGCUUAACUCGGAAACUGCCGUUGAUACUAAUUGUCUUGAAUACUCGGGAGGUGAGCGGAAUAUGUCAUGUAGCGGUGAAAUGCUUAGAUAUGACAUAGAACACCGAUUGCGAAGGCAGCUCACUACAGAGAUAUUGACGCUGAGGCACGAAAGCGUGGGGAUCAAACAGGAUUAGAUACCCUGGUAGUCCACGCCCUAAACGAUGAUUACUCGACAUACGCGAUAUGACAGUGUUUGUCCAAGCGAAAGCAUUAAGUAAUCCACCUGGGAAGUACGAUCGCAAGAUUGAAACUCAAAGGAAUUGACGG
rnacentral:rRNA from 1 species